rnacentral:rRNA from 1 species
GAUGAACGCUGGCGGAGUGCCUAACACAUGCAAGUCGAGCGGCAGCGCGAGUAGUUUACUACUUGGCGGCGAGCGGCGGACGGCUGAGUAACGCGUGGGAACAUGCCCCGAAGUGAGGAAUAACUGCCCGAAAGGGUAGCUAAUGCCGCAUACGAUCUUCGGAUUAAAGGAUUUAUCCGCUUUGGGAGUGGCCUGCGUACGAUUAGAUAGUUGGUGAGGUAAUGGCUCACCAAGUCUACGAUCGUUAACUGGUUUGAGAGGAUGAUCAGUCAGACUGGAACUGAGACACGGUCCAGACUCCUACGGGAGGCAGCAGUGAGGAAUCUUCCACAAUGGACGAAAGUCUGAUGGAGCAACUCCGCGUGCAGGAUGAAGGCCUUCGGGUCGUAAACUGCUUUAUGAGUGAAGAAUAUGACGGUAACUCAUGAAUAAGGGUCGGCUAACUACGUGCCAGCAGCCGCGGU